ACCGCCCUGACUGUAUUGAAAUUCUAACCUACGGGUCUUAUCGACCCGGGAGACAGUGUCAGGUGGGCAGUUUGACUGGGGCGGUCGCCUCCUAAAGUGUAACGGAGGCGCCCAAAGGUUCCCUCAGAAUGGUUGGAAAUCAUUCGCAGAGUGUAAAGGUAUAAGGGAGCUUGACUGCGAGACCUACAAGUCGAGCAGGGACGAAAGUCGGGCUUAGUGAUCUGGUGGUACCGUAUGGAAGGGCCAUCACUCAACGGAUAAAAGCUAACCUCGGG
rnacentral:rRNA from 1 species